GACGAACGCUGGCGGCGUGCUUAACACAUGCAAGUCGAACGGUGAUGCUCCAGCUUGCUGGAGUGGAUCAGUGGCGAACGGGUGAGUAACACGUGAGCAACCUGCCCCAGACUCUGGAAUAAGCGCUGGAAACGGCGUCUAAUACUGGAUACGAAACUGGCCCGCAUGGGCAUGGUUUGGAAAGUUUUUCGGUUUGGGAUGGGCUCGCGGCCUAUCAGCUUGUUGGUGAGGUAAUGGCUCACCAAGGCGACGACGGGUAGCCGGCCUGAGAGGGCGACCGGCCACACUGGGACUGAGACACGGCCCAGACUCCUACGGGAGGCAGCAGUGGGGAAUAUUGCACAAUGGGCGAAAGCCUGAUGCAGCGACGCCGCGUGAGGGAUGACGGCCUUCGGGUUGUAAACCUCUUUCAGCAGGGAAGAAGCUAAAGUGACGGUACCUGCAGAAGAAGCACCGGCUAACUACGUG
rnacentral:rRNA from 1 species